rnacentral:rRNA from 1 species
AUUGAACGCUGGCGGCAGGCCUAACGCAUGCAAGUCGAGCGGGGUUUUCGGACCUAGCGGCGGACGGGUGAGUAAUGCGUAGGAAGCUACCCGACAGAGGGGGAUACCAGUUGGAAACGACUGUUAAUACCGCAUAAUGUCUACGGACCAAAGUGUGGGACCUUCGGGCCACAUGCUGUCGGAUGCGCCUACGUGGGAUUAGCUAGUUGGUGAGGUAAUGGCUCACCAAGGCGACGAUCCCUAGCUGGUUUGAGAGGAUGAUCAGCCACACUGGAACUGAGACACGGUCCAGACUCCUACGGGAGGCAGCAGUGGGGAAUAUUGGACAAUGGGCGCAAGCCUGAUCCAGCCAUGCCGCGUGU